AUCCAUCAUGCAUAUACUCCUAUGUUUUAGUGAAAUAUAUAUAGGACCGGCUGGCUGGCGCGAAUAUAAUGGAAGUGCGUGGUACGUGAUUUCUGUCACGAUCGAUCAAGAUGCAUGCAUAUAUAAGGUUGAUGUGGCCCUGCAGAGGGUACGCCUAGGGAACACACUACUCUGGUGGUCAGGCGAUGCUCAAUUUCAGUGACUCAUUUGUGUCCGGUGGUCGUCAACAUCGGCAUCGAUCAUCUAACAUCCGCUACGUUACUGUCGUUGUCGCGUCCCGCGGCCUUCUCCAUGUUCAUUGCUCCUAUUUCGUUUCAGGCCGGGGCAGGAUAAUGAUUAAUAAUUGGGGUAGCAGACAAUCAGCACCAAAGAUUUGAUGAUGUAUGGCAGCAGAAACUGCCCGCCCUCAUUAUUGACUACGGAGUAUACAUUGAUGACGGAUGCACGUACUACCAGACAAGUUGUCGCUGGAGGGAGUAUAGUAUAACAACAUCUCGAAGGAGUAUGCUACUUGAGUUUUGCAUUGGCCGACACUGAUGCUGGCCAGGUUUGGAGGGUAGUAUGGCACGGAGACUCUUCUACGCCGGAUAUACCAACUACUAGCUAGCUAGUACUGGAAUUGUACAGAGAUGCUUGGCUUGUCCAACUUGUAUAGAUAGGUGUCAGUUCAUGUCUUGUUUGCUACAGAUAGAUUUCUCUCCAGGUUGUGUGGAGCAGUUCAACACAUGUUUUUUUUUCGACAGAUAAAUCUCACCAGCUUCUGUUCUCAUACUAGCUGCGUUGCAUAUCAAGCUGAAAAAGCAAGCUUGGAUAUUUUUUUUC